GGUGGCUCAGUGGUAGAGUGCUUGGCUUGCACGCAUGAGGUUCUGGGUUCGAUUCCUCAGCACCA
rnacentral:tRNA from 1 species